rnacentral:rRNA from 1 species
AUUGAACGCUGGCGGCAUGCCUUACACAUGCAAGUCGAACGGCAGCACGGACUUCGGUCUGGUGGCGAGUGGCGGACGGGUGAGUAAUGUAUCGGAACGUACCUUUCAGUGGGGGAUAACGUAGCGAAAGUUACGCUAAUACCGCAUAGUCUGUGAGCAGGAAAGCCGGGGAUCGAAAGACCUUGCGCUGAUUGAGCGGCCGAUAUCAGAUUAGCUAGUUGGUGGGGUAAAGGCCUACCAAGGCGACGAUCUGUAGCGGGCCUGAGAGGAUGAUCCGCCAAACUGGAACUGGGACACGGUCCAGCUCCCUACGGGAGGCAGCAGUGGGGAAUUUUGGACAAUGGGGGCAACCCUGCUCCAGCAAUGCCGCGUGAGUGAAGAAGGCCUUCGGGUUGUAAAGCUCUUUCGGCCGGGAAGAAAUCGCAUAGGCUAAUACCCUGUGUGGAUGACGGUACCGGAAUAAGAAGCACCGGCUAACUACGU